rnacentral:lncRNA from 1 species
AAGUAAUGUUAUUCUUACUCAUUAGAACUUAUAUUUUUAUAUAUUUGGUCAAAUAAUCAUUGUCGUAAGAAAAAGUAAUUGUUGGUAUGAUGAAAAGUAAUGUUUCAAAAAUAUCACAUUUCUUCAUGUCAAUAAUUACUUUUCAUUAUAAUAAUAAUUACUUUGAAUAACAUGGAAAUAAAUAAUAUACAAAAAAAAUAAUUAAGUAAUUAUUCAAGUAAUCAUUGUCGUACAGUAAAGUAACUAUUGAUAUGAUGAAAAGUAAUGCUUCAAAAACAUUACUUUUCUUUAUGGCAAUAAUUAAUUUAAAAAUGAAUUUAAAAAAAAACAAACAAACAAAAUAAAAUUAAAAAACAUUGUAAAAAAAUCAGAAAAAAAAAGAUAAAAAAACUGAAAUAGAAAUAUAAAUAUAAAUAAAACACUAAGAAAUGAGACGAAAAAAAAUAAAUAAAAAAACUCUAUGAAUUUACAAUUAAUUAACCCAAAAUAUUCUUAAGUGUAUAAACACUGGGACCCAAUUAUACACAAAAGUUGGGCACGUAUAUGUUCCCGUACCCCCAGCCCGCAUACCCGUAUACCC